UUCUGUGCCGGCGAGGAAACACUGCCACCACUCUUCCCUCAGCACGGCGCUGUCUCUCCCUCUCUCUGCGCAGGAGCUCCAGCAGCCCAUCACUCCGUUCCCACAUACGUGCUGCACACAUUUUCCAUCCUUCUUUGGAGAGGUCAUGAAAAGAUGCAGUGCUACACGAUUACCCGCACAUGUGUGCUGCUAUGCGCGACUAUCGCGCUGGCGCUCGCCGUGCUCGGCGUCUUCACCCCCUUUUUUGAGAUGCCGGCCAGCAUCGGGAGGACCGUCAAGCUCUUGAAUGCCAGUGUACAAAGCCCCACCUUCAACAUCGAGACGGAUAAAGUGACGCUGGAGCGUUUCGGCCUGCUGGUUAGUGGGCCGCCCGCCAACAGCAAAAUGACGCUGUGGAAGCUCACGUAUGGCUCAUCGGGGGCCAACGCUUCCAUCAACUUGCGUGACGACUACUUCACCUGCUUCCAGGGCAACAUGCUCAUUCAGGCUGCGGAGGGGAUCGCUGUUGUUACGUGUGUCCUGGGUGCGGCGAACUUCAUCAUGUCGAUGUUUCUCUUCUUGUUUUCUGCCGUCGUCAAGCUCCCCCUGGUCAUAUACUUUUUCUUUGCGGCGGCCGCCGCGGCGGUCACGGUUGGUCUCACCCUCAAUCUCUACCUCCACGGUUGGUGCACGACCCCGGCUCUCAAGACGCAGGAGUGGAACUUGUGGUAUGGCUUUGCCUUCUUCGUCAUCUCGUGCGGCGCCUCCCUCAUUGCUAGCGUCUUGACGGUCUUCUCUGAUUGAGCAGUCGAUCGACACGAACGCUCUUUCUGUGCCCCUCCGCCUGCGCGGGUAUAUGUGCGCGAGUUCAUGUCCCUCUGUGUGUAUAUGCAAGCCGAUUCUCUUCUCGCAGUGGCAGUUUCGUCGGCUCUCCCCGUCUUGGUCGUGAUCCCUCGCCCGUUUUUUCCCACCAUCCUCGUUUGCUUCCAAUCUCAUCCGUCCAUUCUUUGGUUUUGCGCCCUCCUUCGAUGUGAGAGGGCCCGGCUGCGCACACGCACACCGGCAGCGAAGCGGGAGGAUGCUGCUCGACAUGUGCCUCUGUGUGCGUGUGCUUCGAUAUCUGUAGGCUGUGCCUGCCUGGGUCGGCUGUGACGACUUCCCAGUUUAUUUCAUGUAUAAUUUUGUAUUCUAGAGUAUCAUCGCUGUCGCAUUGUGGUUGAGUCCGGCAACGAUCGCCAGUUUAUUCAUCUGUUCUUUUUUCUUCUUCUGCCUCCGUGAAUGGGCACCUCUCCUACUCUCACAUGCCGUGUGGCCGACCAGAGGAACCACCUCUAUCCCUGCUUCUCUCUCUCCGCCGUGAUGUAGCAGCAGCUUAAGACUAAGGUCGGAUCUCCAGUGACUUGUGACUCCGUGUCACUUCGGCUACUAUGCAUACCUGUUCAAGUUCACGUACAUGCACUGCAUGACGUACUUUUAUGUUUUGGAGUGUAUGUGCAUAAGUGUGCCUAUGUGUAUGUUUGAAUGUGUGUAUGCGUGUGUGCAUGUGCGCGCGCGCAUCCCGUCGCGUUGGUUUGUGCCCAG
rnacentral:misc_RNA from 1 species